rnacentral:rRNA from 1 species
GUAGGUGACAAGCGUUGUCCGGAUUUACUGGGCGUAAAGAGCGCGCAGGCGGUCGUUCAAGUCGAGUGUGAAAGCCCCCGGCUCAACUGGGGAGGGUCACUCGAUACUGAUCGACUCGAAGGCAGGAGAGGGAAGUGGAAUUCCCGGUGUAGUGGUGAAAUGCGUAGAUAUCGGGAGGAACACCAGUGGCGAAGGCGACUUCCUGGCCUGUUCUUGACGCUGAGGCGCGAAAGCUAGGGGAGCAAACGGGAUUAGAUACCCCGGUAGUCCUAGCCGUAAACGAUGGACACUAGGUGUUGGUGGUAUCAACCCCGCCAGUGCCGAAGCUAACGCAUUAAGUGUCCCGCCUGGGGAGUACGGCCGCAAGGCUA